GGGGAGGGCCGGGAGCCUAGAAUGUCAGAGCGAAUGUCAGGGCAUCCGGGCCCACUCCGCGCCUUACAGACGCAGACAGGGGCUUGGAGAGAGGAAGUCCCCAAGGCCACCUGGAGAGAGAGAGAGAAGCCGAGGCCAUGCAGCCAGAGGACAGGGCAGAGAUCGAAACACGAGGCUUCUGGAUCCAAUUCAGUAACCCUUCUGUUCCCCCACCAGCUUUCAGAAAAUGGUUCCUCCCUCCCCUUGCACUCCUCCUCCUCCCUCCCUCCCACCCUCCCUUCCUCCCUCUCCUCCUGCCCUUCCCCCCUUUCCACAAACAGUGGAGAACCUUCCGUGUGCCAGGUACUUCUCCGCGUUUAUUCCUUCAGCCACCAGGGGCCAUUUUAGGGGCGAGCAGAGGAACCAUACUGAGAGGCACACUGUCCCACAGUCCUGUGUCCGCGCUGGCCCUGUCUCCCAGGCGGCCAUUUGGGGACCCGAGGACAAGGUUGCUGUUCCCUGCCUCCCCUGGGAUGACGGUGGAAAGUGGAGAUGCGCUUCUGUCUGUGUCCCUAGACCACUCCAAUCAGCUAAACGAAGGCCAACCACGGACGCUGGCAUCUAGGGCUCCGACUGUCCCGGCUCCCGGGCGGGCGGCAGAGGCACGGGACAGGUCAAGCCACCAGUCGGCAAGGCAGUUACUUCCAGGCGAGAGGUGAAGGUGACCUUGCCCUUGAUGAAGGCUCCAGGAAGCCCUGGGAACCGCGGCUUCUCGGCCAGAUCCACGGGGGAGGACUGUCACUGGGAGGGUGGGAAGACGAUGGAGGGGCUGGACUGUCCCUUCAGCGUGUCGGCGAUCCGGGACCCCCGGUGGUCCCGACUCAGGUGCACAGGACCUCACGGUAACCUUGUCAGAGCUGCUCAGAACGGACCCAGAGCUUGGUGGUCCCCUUCUUUGGGACCCUCGGGUGUUGUGUCCCUCCUGGCUAAGCUUGCUCCACAGAUGGUCAAUAAAGGAGGUGACAGAGGCCA
rnacentral:lncRNA from 1 species